UUCAAGGACACCCCUAUUUAUAAUGACGAGGCAGACCCUCUGGUAGGCUGGUCCCUGCCGCAACCUUGGAGAGCCGAUGUGACUUAUGCCGCCCUAGUGGUGAAGGUCAUCGCACAGCACCAGAACCUGCUGUUUGCCAACAGCAGCUCCUCCAUGCGCUACAUACUCCUCAGCAAUGACAAUGCCUUCCUGAGCUACCACCCGUACCCUUUCUCCCAGCGUACACUUACUGCUCGCUUCCAGGUCAACAAUACUCACCCACCCCACGUGCAGUUGCUGCGGAAGCCAGUACUCACAGUCAUGGGGCUGAUGGCCCUGUUGGGUGAGUAAUGACCCUGCGUCUGCGUGUGCCAAGUCAGAGUGAAAACACCAUGCCAGCCUGGCAGGUCCUGGAUUGAGGGACCAUGAACUUGCUGGGCAGGGGCAAGCUUACUUCCUCCAGCUGCUGGGUGAGUUUCUUAGGUUCUUUUUUCCAAAUCUCUGCCUUUCCAUCCUCCCAUUCUGUGGGCUAAACAGUAUGACAGACAACCCCCCCACCCCCAGUAUAUAGUGGGAGCCAGGCAUUAGGGUAGGAAGCGAGGUGCUAGGUAUGAGGAAGCCAACAGCCCCAGUCCUCUGCCUGACUUGUAGAUGGAGAGCAACUCUGGGCAGAGGUCUUGAAGGCUGGGGCUGUGUUGGACAGCAACCAUACAGUGGGUGUCCUGGCCAGCACCCAUCACCCUGAAGGUCCCUCAGAGGCCUGGAGAACCACUGUCCUGAUCUACACUAGUGAUGACACCCACAUACACCCUAACGACAGUAUCCCUGUUAUUCUUCAUCUGCGUGGAGUACCUCCUGGCUUGGAGCUUGUCUACGUAGUACUCUACUUAGACAAUCAACUCAGCAGCCCCUACAGUGCAUGGCAGCACAUGGGCCAGCCAGUCUUCCCCUCUGCAGAGCAGUUCCGACA
rnacentral:lncRNA from 1 species